rnacentral:lncRNA from 1 species
CGCCAAGGUUCAUCGUGCCCACCAAACCCACUUGACAAAUCCUGGACCGAUCAUCCUAGCACUGAAGCAGCGGGAAGCUCCGCCGCCGCCUACACUCACCAUCAACACCGCUGUCACCGCCAUGACGAGCUCCUCCUCCAAGCCCGAUGGUCGGUAUCUCUCCCUCUGCCUCUCGGUUUUCUUAAUUAGCUAGAGGUCAUGUUGAUUUUAGCCUAUAGAUGAACCCCAAUUGAUCACUGGUUAAGUUUUUGAGUCAAUGCUAAGCUAAUUAGUUCUAUCACGAGGUUGUAUUUCCUCAAGACAUGAAAGAACAUGAUGUCAUGAAAGAAUAUACAUCCUCAAACAGAACGAAUAUUGCAUGGAUGUAACUCACAUUCUCAGAUCUAGUGUCGCUCAAUUUGAUUGGGGAGGUGGUGACUACACUUUCGGGCUGCGGGCAACCCUGCUGCCCCCAUUGGACUCGUCGCUCCAGAAUGCAAACCAUUACUGGUGAUACAGUGACCUUGUUUCGGUGUGAGCUUUUUUUGAGCCCUUAUGAACAGGUAGUUGAGGGAACCAAAGGACAUAUAGCAUAUAUGGAUCGCUCCAUAAUACUUGUAUUUUGGGUACCAGAUGGGUGCCUGCGGGUAAGUUUGUAUACCCGCACACUACCUGCGGGUGAGAAUUCAUACCCAUACUCUCACCCGCGAGUAAGAAUUGGUAUCCAUACCUACCCUCGCUCGUGGUUCCGGUGGCGUUGUGUCCGGCCAAAUACAUUCCGUUGAGCGACCACCCUGCGCGAGACGACACUGCACCAGCGGACGCGGCGGCCUCAUCAUUCAUGUGUGCAAUGAUCGUUGCACCUCGUUCCCUUGCCGCCGGGAUGCUCGUGAAGGACCGUGUCGCGAGCUACCACCGACCACUACUAGACAUUAGUCGUGGGGUGUGUUCACGUGAGUAUACGCUUGCGGCCUUGCCGGCUGUGGCUGAUGUAGUCGCUCAGUGUUUCGUCCGGUACACCGUACACGUCGCUUGUUUCGUCUGGGCAACGGUUUCUCAUAUGCUGGAGAUGCUGCCAUGCUGGCAUAGGCGAGCUAGCUUCUGAUCUCUGUGCAGUAGAUGUUCUGUGUGCGCGAUUCUCUUAUUGCAAGUGGUGCAAAAAUAACUAGCCAUAAACAUUCAACAAGAUGCAAGCUGUAUCCGGCAUUCCAGGGUGGAGAAUGGCCCUUGUACAGUGGUACUUUUGUACAACCACUGAUUUCACAGUUCGGGACGCACGUCCUAUACUCCAAGUGCCUAAUUUUUUCCUUGCCUUAGUCGCUAGCAUGUUAGCGACAGCGGCUCUCCGGUGGAACUUGCACGGGGCGUGGUGGACCAACCUGGCUGUGAGGGCAUCAGGGCAGGGCAAUGGCAACGGAGCGCGGCCAAAGGAGAACUUUCGGAUAGGAAGCUUGGGGCAGGAGCCACAGUGAUUGCUACUGACGCUUCACGCUCGUAUGCAUAAUGCUCGUAGGGUUAGGAAGGCCUGUUGCCGUGUUGUACUACCGGGAACACAUAAGAAUUUUCGGACUGCCCACGCCGCAGCCUCCUCUUUGAUUUUUGCCAAAAGACCUAUCUUCUUUGGCUGGAGCAAAAAGACCUAGUGAUUAUAGCGUGAGAAAAACUUCUUUAUGUGCACUCUCUUUUCCAAUUAGCUAGACUCUACUCUACCUUCUUUAUAAAUGAAAUAGGUACAAUCUCAUACCUAUUUAUUUAAAAAAAAGAAUUAUGAGACUGCAUACUGUGCUAGUGCAUCGCCCGUUUCAUGAACCUAUGAAAAAAUCAUGCUGGUUAUAUAAAACUGUUACACAAUUUCCCGAAAGGAAUUUCGAUAAACAUAGAUCUAUAUAUUUGAACUUGAAUUUUUAGAUCAUACUAGAACUUCUUCAAUAUAUAGAUCCAUAUACAAGCAAACGAGCCUCUAGCUGAGUUGGUUAUAGCAUCUUCAGCAGAUUCCUUUUCUACUUUCCCCUUUUCUCUUUUAAGCCAAAAAAGGGGUUAGGGGGAGAAAAACUAGCUCCAGCCGACCCUCUUUCCAUUCCCCAUUCCUCUUUAUUUUUUUCUCAAUCCCCUUUAUUACUCCCCGUCUCCCCUUUACAAAAGUUAAUUCACCCCUCUCCCUUUCCUUCUCCCUUUCCUCCCUUCCUCUCAUGCCACACGAUCCGCAAGCCACAGGAUUCCCUGGCUGCCCGAUCUGCCUCGCCGGCCACCUUGGCAUUCACGCCACCACCAACUAUCCUAUGCGCGUCGCUGACCUAGCAACGCCAUCUGCAAGCUCCACGUGUGCAGUUGGCCUGGUAGCGCUAUCCAUCGCCGGCCGCCCUCUGCCUCGCAACGCCGUCCCGACCAUGCACGGUGGUCGCGCCACCGGAGGCCGCCGCCCGCCCCUACCCAGCAUGGGCUCGCACGCCAAUGUCGGCUUCCUUCUGCCCACACCAUCGCUGCUCCACCCCCGCUGCCACCGUGUGGGCUCGCCCCGCCAUCGUUGCUCCACCCCCGCCACCGCUCUGCCUUGUCACUUCCAGCCCGCAGGCCAUCAUCAUCGUCCUUUGCCCAGAGGCAUCCAAGCCCGCCGCCUAGGGUGGAGCGGGAAAAAAUCAUUAACCCACUGACAAGUAGGCCCCAUGCGUAAGAAAGAUUGAAAGAGGAUCUACUAAAGCAAUUCUCCCCAAAAUCCUAAAACUAUGAAAGGGGAAUCCCGACCCUACAGGGGAAUAAAGGGGAAAAUGGGAAAUCAAUCUGCUGAAGAUGAUCUUAGGUGGUUCUAGUUGCACUCCUCAUGUCUUGGGUUUGACUCCCCGUAGGAGCGAAUCCAGGCUGGAGUUAACAAAACCCCCUCAGAGUUUUCUAGCUCAAUAGGCUUGAGAAGGUCUUCUCUUAGCAAAAUGCCUAGAGCUAUCUUAACAACACCCCCCCUAGUCGAGUUUUAAGCGAACGGGUCUCUAUAGCUGAGUUGGUUAGGUGGUUCUAGUAGGACUCUUUAGGUCCCGUGUUUGACUACCCAUUGGAGCGAAUUUAUGGCUAGCGUUUAAAAAAAAUCAGUCUAUCCCAUAACAACUAUGGUGCCGCUGUGUAAGAGUGGGGGCGUGGGUAAGGCUUCGGAGGUUUUAAAGAUGGGGCUGGGGUUUGGAGGUUUUCUUGACGUGCGUGAGAAUGUAUUCGCUUAGCAAAUUGUCUGGGGGCUAUCUCACCUUUGCAAAUUGAGUGUUUUUUUAUAGAUCGAUACAAUUCAAGUCAUCUGACAGUGGGUUCAAUAGCUAGCAAAGUUUUUUUUUUGGAAAUAGAAAUAGCUACCAAAGUUUGUGCUCACAAAGAAAGACAUGGUUAGCACUAAUGAACACUAGAAUCACUAGGUUAGCUCUAAUAAAAAUAGAAUCACUUGGUAGUUGAUUUCUCAAAGUAACAACCUACAAGGACAUCUAUGUUCUCAGCCAGCCAGCCUGAUUCUUGAAUCCACUAACGAUUCCGAGCGAUUCCGAGCUCCCUGUCUCCCUGGCAGACCGCCACUGCCUGGCACACACGGUACCACCGUUCGGUGAAGCAUUAGUUGUCUCCGUUUCAGCCAUUCUCGAGACCAUCCAAACAGUUAGGUCAGGCAUAAGAGGACAUCAUUGUAACACCCAAAUUUUAGAGAAUUCAAAUUUAUUAAAACUUGCUCAAAUUAGGAUGUCAUUUAGAUUCUAGGCAUUUAAUUUCAUUUUCUUUAAUUUAAUUAAUUCAUCAUAGGGUUAUUUGUGCAUUCAUGCUGGAGCAUAAUUUUUGAUUGUUGGAGUUUGAACCAAAAAUUUGAAUUUCAAGUUUAAAUUCAAUUUCCAAAACCAUUUCCUUUUCCUCUUUCUUUUUGUUUUUCUUCUUCUCCUCCUGGGCCGCAUCUCUCCUUCUUUUCCCUUCUUCUUCUUCUUUCGGCCCAGCCGAGCUGCAGCCCCUCCGGCCGCCCCACCCUUUGCCGGCCCAGCUCCCGACACCCCUGCGGCCUGCCACUCGCCUCUUCUCCGCGGCCCGCGAACCGCGCGCGGCCCAGCCGCAGCAGCUCCGCCGGCCCCCUCCUCUUUUCUUCUUGCCGGCCCAGCUUCCCCACCCGAGCGGCCCACCGCUCCGCCUCUGGCCGGCCUGCGAAGUCCGCCGCUCGCUCGUCGCCCCGCGGCCCGCGAAUGCGCGCGCCGGCCCAACAGCAUCGCCAGCCCGCCUACCGCCCGUCGUCGCCUACCUCCGGCCGUAUCCGGCCGGGACUCCCCGCAACCACCGCGCCGCCAUCUCCGGAAUCCCGUCGGCCCCCGCUCCGAAUCCGCCGCGAUUCAAACCCGGGGCCGCUCUAUCUCCAAGCGCGCCGCCCCUAUAUAAGUCACCGCCCCCUCCCCGGCCUCGAGCACCCCGCGCCUACGCCCGAAACCCUAGCGCCCCAAAGCUCCAGUGCCGCCGCUUCUUCCCCGCCAUCAAGCGCCGCCUCCGGUGAGCUCCGGUCGCCGAGGACCCCCAAAACAAGUUCGCCGUGUUCCCCUCUUUCUUUUGGUGCAAUCUGCGCGCCAAACCAUGCCCCGGAGCGCCUUUUCGGCCAACUCCGGCGACCCGCCGCCGCUCGCUGUCGCGCGCCGCCGCUCGCCGCCGCCGCGAGUCAUCGAUGACCACGACCGUCAGAUCUUGAUCCGAUGGCCAAUAGUGAGUCAAACAAGACCGCGUAACGGUCAACCGAGCCGCGCCGUGCCGCUUUUGCUCUUAAGCCCCCGCCUUUUUCACGAAUCAACCCGCGGUCCAGAUCGCGUUGAAAAUAAUUCCAGAUCUGCCCUCGCACUUUUCGGUUUAACCCUUGAACUUUUCAAGAAUCAACCUGCCGUCCGGAAUUUGAGUUUUUGCGUGUUAGACCUUCGGUUUAUAGCGUAAUUACGUAUAAGCCCUCGGUUUUUGCGGUUUGGCCCUAAAAGUUUUGUUUUUCUCACAGAAAAGCCCCUGGAUCUUGUUUUAAUCAUAUCUUUUGCAUCUUAACUCCGUUUUUCGCGUUCUUUAUAUCCACGUGUUUGUUUUAAAGCGUAGAUCAACUGUUCAAGCUUGUUUUCUCUGUUUAACUAUGAUUGGUGUACUGUUUUCCUACUGUUUGCCCAUGUUUGCUUGUAUGUGCCCGUGUGACGCGUGUAGACGUCCUGCAGUUCGAGGGAGUUGAAGACCAAGCCUUCGAGGAGUACGAACAACAGGAGCAAGGCCAAGAAGGCAAGUCGUGUCCUUGAUCACUACCUUUUCGUCCUAUACACCUUUACUUUCUCGUACUCAACAUUUAUGCUAUGCACAUGUUAAGAUUAAAUUGAUGGGUCCCAAUUAAGGUUCGCCUAGAUUGAAUUACCUUUGCCUUGACCAACCGGUUUACUUUAUGUUGGGUAGCUCAUGCUUAGUGCUUACUUGGUAUGGUGGUUUAACUAAACACAAUGCUUAAUCUUGCUUUACUUCCGUCAUACCUUUCAUUAAUACAAGAUCAUGUAUGAUUAAUCGGAACAUGGAGCGACCACCCAGGAAAACAGUGCUACCACAAGACUAAAUGGCUCUGGUCUUGGCUGAAUAAUUAGAAACUCUAGUUUGGGGUAAUCUUACCGAAAGGGCAAGAGGGGAGGCGUUGAUGGGAUAUAGCACUCGCUCUCUUGGGAAGUGGGCUUGGCUAAGACACUAUACCCUCUAGGGGACUGAUAUGUUUCGCUUCGACCUAAAACCUUAGCAGGUUACCACAUUGCUAGCGAAUCUUUGUAAAGGCCUCGUAGCGUCCCUAUGCAAUCACACCUCGGAAGUGUGGUAUGGUGCCUUGAAAACACCGCAUGGUUGGGUCCAAAGUUCUAUUGAACUUUUACGCGACUUAUGGGUAAAGAUGUGCCACCUCUGCAAAGUGUAAAACUGAUCGAUCAGCCGUGCUCACGGUUAAGAGCGGCCUGGACCCUCACAUGAUAAUAAUAUCGGAAGAUGGAUUUAACUUGGUGUCAUUUCAUGCAUAUGUUGUUUACUUUAUUUAUGAUCAUGUUUAAUUUCGGGUGGUAUGAACUUAUACUUAGUUAAUUGCUAAUAAAACUUGACCAACUUAAUUAAAAGCGAAUGCUAAUUAUGCCUUAGCCAUGCCUUGAUUUGCCUUACACUACACUAUUCCCCACGACUUGUUGAGUACCAACCAUAAGUGUACUCACCCUUGCAAAACUGCUGUUCAGACCAAGCUAAUUGGGAAGAGGAGUAUCUACACGACUUUAAGGAGUUCUAGGCGUACGUUUCUUCAGUCAGCUGCCUGUGGAGUCGUCGUCGUCGUCUUUGGAGUUCCGCUGCGUAAUAAAUUAGGCUUAUGUUUUAUUGAGACUUUCGGUCAUGUAAUAAUGUUUAAUACUCUCUCUGUUCGCUUUAGCACUGUCUUUGUUAUUCACUAUUGUCGUACAUAUGUGUAACUUGAUCCUGGCGCACAUGUAUUUAAUGCACUCGAUUUUAUCCUUAAAAUCGGGUGUGACAAUCAUGCAAACACCUUCCUGGA